ensembl:lncRNA
UUGGAUCAAAUCAUUCUUGAAUGCUAAGCAGCACAGUCUGUUGUUUUGUUGUCCAUGUUGCUAAGCGACCAUCAGCAAGUCAAAGGCUGAGAGAAAAGACAAAUCCCAAAAGAAAAUGAGACGUGGUGGAGGGCAGGAAAUUGCAAGUUUUUAAAAGCCAGUCAAUGUGGGACACGAGGUCUCUCGAGAAGAUGGUGAAUAGGACGACUCUAAGCACACAGAGAGUGCUCCAUGCACACAUUCUGGAACUAGGGGAACAGUUAUGUCCAUGGUCAUCUCCCAGUGCUCCAAAUCUGGUCAAUCCACAGCCUGUGACUGAACAAGAGCAGCCUGACGUCCCCACCAUGGAGGAAUUUAAGCAGCUGGCAGAGAAGGAGAAACACGCUGCCCUUAAACUCCAAGAGGAGCAUCAGCAGCAGCAUAAUCCUCAACUUCUCUCCUCGUUGCAUCCGAGUGUCAGAUUUAAUGAAUGAUCCGGUUGCUACUCCA